rnacentral:tRNA from 1 species
GGCCUCGUAGCUAGAGCGUUGGCUGUACUAAAGCCUUCGCCUUGCUGGCGUGGGUUCGAAUCCCACCGAGGCCG